rnacentral:rRNA from 1 species
UUCGAGUGGCGGACGGGUGAGUAACGCGUGGGUAACCUGCCUUACACAGGGGGAUAACACCUGGAAACAGGUGCUAAUACCGCAUAAGCGCACAGGGCCGCAUGGCCCGGUGUGAAAAACUCCGGUGGUGUAAGAUGGACCCGCGUCUGAUUAGCUUGUUGGCGGGGUAGGGGCCCACCAAGGCGACGAUCAGUAGCCGGCCUGAGAGGGUGGACGGCCACAUUGGGACUGAGACACGGCCCAGACUCCUACGGGAGGCAGCAG